GGAUUUGGUUAGCACCCUCUUUAGUACAAAAAAUUUAGCACGAACUACCAGCUUGUAUCUGUUCCUAGUAGGUAUGAUUUUUUCUGCUUUCAUGAUUCAAUUUAUUUGAUAUGAUCCUUUUUUUUUCAUCUCUCACAGAAAGCAACUGUACCUCAGUUGAUUUGACUAGUAUAGGUUUCAGAUCUAAUUUUUACAGACCAUUUUGUGAUUCACCGACUAAGAUAUAAGCUACCAUGUCUUCUAUUAAAAUCAUAUAUUUGAAAUAUUCUAUAAUGCAUGAUUAUAAAUUUUUUGUUUUCAUUUUCUUUAAUAUCAGAUGGAUUAUAUAAAUUCUUCGCAUCCAAGUUUUACUGGUGGGAACAAAGCUGUUGAGCUUGCUGUGAAGCAGAUGAGACAUCAAAGGUAUAGAUGUUAUUUCAGUUGAAUCAACGUGUAGGAAGUUAGCCCUUUAGCAUGGAGUUAUAGUUUUAUAUUGCUCACUUCGGUGCAGCAUUCAUCUUCCUUUGUGAGACUGACUGACAGUUGAAGCUGAAUUUUCUGGAGGGAUGUGAAAUUGUUUUAAAAGUACAUAUUAUAACGUCUAUUCUAUUAUUACAGAAAUUAAUAGCAAAUAAUUGUUUUGAAAUCUGAGGUUGAUUCACAUGUAAUAGUUUACACUCUAAAUUGACAACUGCAUGAUUCUAUCAUGUCUUCUCAAGUUCUUUUUAUUGGUUGAUUUGUUGUUCUGCAACAAUAAUGGGUAUAUAUUGUUAACUUUAUACAUGAUAUAGACACAUUUACUUCAUCUUUUUAUCAUUCAAGAGAGAGCGGAUGCUGAAAAGGUACCUAUAUCUGACAAGGGCCAGUUCUCCCGAACUGUUUGUUGAAAGUUGUCAACAAUGCAGCAGCAUGCAAAUGUCCACAAGAAUGCAGCAGCAAGCUAAUGUCCAUUAUGUAUUUUGGUUAUUAAACUUUUGUAACGUGCGACUUUUAUUGGUUUGAUUGUAACAUUUUGUUUACCCAAGGAUUAGUCAAGUACUUAGCUGAUUUAGUAGCUUUUUAGGUUAUCAUUAAACUGAUUUUACAGCUUGGAUACUAG
rnacentral:lncRNA from 1 species